rnacentral:rRNA from 1 species
AGUGAACGCUGGCGGUAGGCCUAACACAUGCAAGUCGAACGGCAGCACAGGAGAGCUUGCUCUCUGGGUGGCGAGUGGCGGACGGGUGAGGAAUACAUCGGAAUCUACUCUGUCGUGGGGGAUAACGUAGGGAAGCUUACGCUAAUACCGCAUACGACCUACGGGUGAAAGCAGGGGACCUUCGGGCCUUGCGCGAUUGAAUGAGCCGAUGUCGGAUUAGCUAGUUGGCGGGGUAAAGGCCCACCAAGGCGACGAUCCGUAGCUGGUCUGAGAGGAUGAUCAGCCACACUGGAACUGAGACACGGUCCAGACUCCUACGGGAGGCAGCAGUGGGGAAUAUUGGACAAUGGGCGCAAGCCUGAUCCAGCCAUACCGCGUGGGUGAAGAAGGCCUUCGGGUUGUAAAGCCCUUUUGUUGGGAAAGAAAUCCAGCUGGCUAAUACCCGGUUGGGAUGACGGUACCCAAAGAAUAAGCACCGGCUAACUUCGUUCCAGCCGCCGCCGUAA